GACGAACCGUGCGAACGUUGUUCGGAAUCACUGGGCUUAAAGGGCGCGUAGGUGGUUUGCCAAGUCGGGGUUGAAAUCUUUCGGCUUAACCGGAAAAGUGGCUUCGAUACUGGCAAGCUGGAGGGAGGUAGGGGCGGAUGGAACUUCCGGUGGAGCGGUGAAAUGUGUUGAUAUCGGAAGGAACGCCGGUGGCGAAAGCGAUCCGCUGGACCUCUUCUGACGCUGAGGCGCGAAAGCUAGGGGAGCGAACGGG
rnacentral:rRNA from 1 species